rnacentral:lncRNA from 1 species
CGGGCUGCACUCCUCUUCCACCCGCCGCGUCCCAAGCCCCUAGCUCGGAUCCUGGGCUUCAGCCUGCGUACCCCGGGGAUGCCAGGGCCCGCGGCCGCCGGCGCCCUCGGGGCACCAGAGAGAGAGAGAUCCUACGUUCUGUGCAAAACCUCUUACAGAUCACGCUGUGUAUUGAGUCCAGACGAAAAGCACAGGGAAAACCCCAACCUCGAGCGAGCCCCGUCUCACCUGAGGUCAGAACCUCUGAUGUUAGAGGGGCUGUUUUCGCAGCCAACAUGAACAUGGAGAAGGGACAAUUCAACCUUGUCUUCGCAGAGAAAAGUGCUUCUCCUGUAGGCUCAGUCUGUAAUGUUUGGGUGGGACUCUGGCACACAGCAUGGAGGUACCUCUGAAAACUAAAUAUAGAACUACCAUUUGACCCACUCCUCCGCAUGUAUCCAGACAAAACUUUCACUGAAGAAGAUACAUGCACCCCUGUGCUCAUUGCAGUGCUAUUCACAAUAGCCAAGACAUGGAAACGACCUAAAUGUCCAUCAACAGAUGAAUGGGUUAAGAAGAUGUGAUAUAUAUAUAUAUAUAUACACACACACACAAUGGAAUACUACUCAGCUAUAAAAAAGAACAAAGUAAUUUGCAGUGAUAUGGGUGGAACUAGAGACUCACAUACUAAGUGAAGUAAGUCAGAAAGAGGAAGACAAAUACCAUAUGACACCACUAAUAUCUGGAAGCUAAUAUACAGGUGGAAAUGAACCUAUCUAUGAAAAGAAACACACUCAUGGACUUGGAGAACAGAGUUGUGGUUGCCAAGGGGGAGGGGGAGAGAGUGGGGUGGACUGGGAUUUAGGGGUUAGUAGAUGCAAACUAUUGCCUUUGGAGUGGAUGAGCAAUGAGAUCCUGCUGUAUAGCACAGGGAACUAUAUCUAGUCACUUGUGAUGGAACAUGAUGGAGGAUAAUGGGAGAAAAAGAAUGUAUAUAUAUGUAUGACUGGGUCACUUUUCUGUACAGCAUAAAUUGACAGAACAUUGUAAAACAACUAUAAUAGAAAAAAAUAAAAAUCUUAUUUAAAAACA